CAGGCUGGUCUCGAACUCCUGACCUCAUGAUCCGCAUCCCCCCUCCCCCCGCGGCCUUCGAAAGUGCUGGGAUUACAGGCGUGAGCCACCGCACCCAGCUCAAUGGCUGAACUUUUAGCUUCAUUUUAGCAGAGUUCAGACACCCCCAUAAUCCUAAUCUUGUGAGUUGUCAUUAGUUUUACAAAGGCAGUUUGGUCCCAGAACAAACAGGUGGUAGUUUUGGGAAGGGCUAUUAUCAUCCUUGCUUUAAGUUUAAACCAUAAAUUAAAUUCCUCCCCAAGUUAACCUAGCCUAUGCCCAGGAAUGAACAAGGACAGUUUAGAGGCUAGAAGCAAGAAGAAGUCAGCUAGAUUACAUUAUUUUACUGCCAUCAUUUUCCUGUGUCGGGUCUUACUCACUGUCAUAAUUUCUUUUUUCUUUUUUUUUAAAGACAGAGUCCUACUCUGUCACCCAGGCUGGAGUACAGUGGGGUGAUCUCGGCUCACUGCAACCUCUACCUCCCAGAUUCGAGUGAUUCUCCUGUCUCAGCCUCCUGAGUAGCUGGGAUUACAGGCACCUGCCACCAUGUCCGGCUAAGUUUUAGUAGAGACGGGUUUUGCCAUGUUGGCCAGGCUGGUCUCGAACUCCUGACCUCAAGCACUCCACCUACCUUGGCCUCCCAAAGUGCUGGGAUUACAGGUGUGAGCCACUGCACCCGGCCUCUGUCAUAAUUUUUGCAAAGGCGGUUUCAGUGGGGUCUCCAAACCACUCUCCUUGGCCAGGUUACCAGUUUCCCACCUGGGCACAGUGGGUUAGGGUCCUGGGGGUUGGUCCUCCCAACUCCAGUGUCUUCUGGUACCAUCCUCCCUCCUUGCAGCAAAUAUAGUGUCUGUGGUCCAACUCUGGAGUUACUGUGGCCAGAGGCUCUUAGUUACCAGAUUAACUGUCCCUUCCCCACUCCUUUCCCCACCAACCAUCUGCUUCUGUACCAGCUACCUGGCUAGGAGGAUUUCUACCUCCCCCUACCUAGGGGUCUGGCCCUGUGGUAAGACUGCACCCACCCGUGAAGCCACGCCCCAUCCAGGAAACCACACCCACUCAAGAAGCCCUGCCCACCCAAGAAGCCCCACCUGCCAGCAAGCCACAGCCAUCCAAGAAACCCCACCCAUCCAGGGAGCCCUGCCCAGCCCAUCAGAUGGUCCCACUCACCCAUGAAAGCCACUGCCGAGGUAUUCACAGCCCUGCUGCUAUUCGGCCUGCCCAUCAGGAGCCAGUCCACAGAACUCCAUUAACCUUGCUGUCAAAACAGGGUUUCCUGGCUGGGGGGCUUACUCCUGUAAUCCCAGCACUUUGGGAGGCUGAGGCGGGUGGAUCAUUUGAGGUCAGGAGAAUAAGACUAACCUGGCCAACAUGGGGAAACCUCGGGAGUUCUAGACCAGCCUGACCAACAUGGUGAAACCCCACCUCUACUAAAAAUACAAAAUUAGCUUGGCAUGGUGGCAUGGGCCUCUGAUCCCAGCUACUCAGGAGGCUGAGGCAGGAGAAUGGCUUGAACCUGGGAGACUGAGGUUGCAGUGAGCCAAGAUGAAGCCACUGCACUCCAGCCUGGGUGACAGAGUGAGACUCUGUCUCACAAAAACAAAAACAAAACAAACAGGGUUUCUUUUUAUAGACAAUCUCCAAAGGCAAUUUCAUGAUGAUUAGAUUCAAACAGGAUGGCACCUAGGAAUUGUCCAAUCUUCAACAUUAUCUAGAAAGUUUCUCCCAAAUGAUGCUUUAGUUUAGAAUACUGUACCCCUCUCUCUCUCUGCAUUUUCACAAUCUGAGGUUUUUCUUGUUUGAUCGUUUAUUUUAUUUUAUUUUACUAUUCUAUUUUUUGCACCAGAACGCCCAUGGAAACACAUGCAGUCCCGUGACCUCACGCUGGAUUUUUCAGUUUCUAGAAAUUAAAUCAGCAAAUUUGGAGUCCAAAGAAAUGGGUUGCUAGGUGUGGUGGCACACCCCUGUAAUCCCAGCACUUUGGGAGGCUGAGGCAGGUGGAUCACUUGAGGUCAGCAGUUUGAGACCAGCCUGGCCAACAUGGCAAAACCCUGUCUCUACUGAAAACAUAAAAAUUAGCUGGGCAUGGUGGUGCACGCGUGUAUUCCCAGCUACUCGGGAGGCUGAGGCAGGGAAAUUGCUUGAACCUAGGAGGUGGAUGUUGCAGUGAGCCAAGGUCACGCCACUGCAUGCCGGCUUGGGAGACAUAGCGAAACUCCAUCUCAGAAAAAAGAAAAAAAAAGAAAUAGGUUGUUUAAAACUUGACAAUAAUAGAAUUUUACAUGAGAACUAUGGGGGUGUCUAGCAUGUUUCCCUUGAGUGUAGGCUGUCAGCAUUGGUGAAGUGAUCGCUUUGGGUUGCUGAUUGAGAAGCUACUUGUUCUCUCAGAAUGGAAGAAUAUUCAGGAGACCGGGUCUGUGGUCUGUUAGAAACCAGGUUUCAGAGCAGGAGGUGAACGAUGGGUGAGCGAGUGAAGCUUCAUCUAUAUUUACAGUGGCUCCUCAACACUAUUAUUACUGCCUGAGCUCCGCCUCCUGUCAGAUCAGCUGUGGCAUUAGAUUCUCAUAGGAGUGCCAACUCUAUUGUGAACUGUGCAUGAGUGACCUAGGUUGUGUGCUCCUUAUGAAAAAUCUAAUGCCUGAUGAUCUGUCACUGUCUCUCAUCACUCCCCUGUUGUGACCAUCUAAUUACAGGAAGGCAAACUCAGGGCUCCCACUGAUUCUACAUUAUGGUAAGUUGCAUAAUUAUUUCAUUAUAUAUUACGACAUAAUAAUAGAAAUAGGCUGGGUGUGGUGGCUCACGACUGUAAUCCCAGCACUUUGGGAGGUGGAGGUGGGCAGAUCACCUGAGGUCAGGAGUUUGAGACUGCCCUGGCCAACAUGGUGAAACACUGUCUCUACAAAAAAUACAAAAAUUAGCUGGGGGUGGUGGUGGGCACCUACAAUUCCAGCUACUUGGGAGGUUGAGGCAGGAGAAUCUCUUGAACCCGGGAGAUGGAGGUUGCAGUGAGCCGAGAUCGUGCCACUGCACUCUAGCCUGGGUGACAGAGUGACACUCCAUCUCAAAUAACAAUAAUAAUAAUAAUAGAAAUAAAGUGCACAAUGAAUGUAAUGUGCUUGAACCAUCCCAAACCCGUCCCCCUCGACCCUCCUGGUCCAUGGAACAAUUGUCUUCCAUGAAACCAGUCCUUGGUGCCAAAAAGUUUGGGGACUGCUGGUCUGGACAACCUGGGCUUCACAAUUUUUAAUUUGUUUGUAGGCUGUUACUGUAACAGGCCGAGAGGUGCUUGUAAACUUCAGAGGUUGUUUACCAGAGAGCCAAAGAAGGUGUUUAGAAAUGUGUGUGACAUGCUAUAACCCAGCUCCGGCCAUAGACCCUGUUCCGAUGAAGACAAUGUUCUAUCUCUAAUGAUCCAAUAUGGCAGACAGCAGCCAUAUGUGGCAUUGUACUCUUAAAAUAUGGAUAAUGCAACUGAAGAACUAAUUUUCUUUUUCUCUUUCUUCUUUCUUUCUUUCUUUCUUUUUUUCUGUUCUUUCUCUCUUUCUUUCUCUCUCUCUUUCUCUCUUUCUCUCUUUUUUUCUUUCUUUCAAGACAGGGUCUCACUCUGUCACCCAGGCUAAAGUGCAGUGGCACGAUCCGGGCUUACUGCAACCUCCACCUCCCGGGUUCAAGUGAUUCUCCUGCCUCAGCCUCCCGAGCAGCUGGGAUUACAGGCGCCUGCCACCACACCAGGCUAAUUUUUGUAUUUUUAGCAGAGACAGGGUUUCACCACAGUGGCCAGGCUGGUCUCGAACUCCUGACCUCCGCCCGCCUCGGCCUCCCAAAGUGCUGGGAUUACAGGCGUGAGCCACCACGCCUGGCCAGCCAACUUCUAUUAAUAUUUUAGAAAAAGGGGAUGCAAGUGCAGGUUUGUUACAAAGGUAUAUGAUGUGAUGCUGAGUUUUGGGGUAUGAAUGAAUAUGUCACCAAGGUAGUGAGCAUAGUAUCCAGUAGAUCAUUUUUUCAGCCCUUGCCCUGCUCCUUCUCUUCUACCUCUAAUAGUCCCUGUGUCUAUUGUUUUUAUUUUUAUGUCCAUGUGCACCCAAUAUUUAGCUCCCACUUAUAAGUGAGAAUAAGCGUUAUUUGGUUUUUUGUUUCUGCGUUAGUUAGCUCAGACUAGUGGUUUCCAGCUGUAUCCCCGUUGCUGCAAUGGACAUGAUUUUGUUCUUUUUUAUGGCUGUGUAGUAAUCCAUGGUGUAUGUAUACUGUAUUUUUCACCAUAGAUGGGCAUCUAGGUUGAUUCCAUGUCUUUUCUAUUGUGAAUACUGUUGUGCCAUGGGUGCAGGUGUCCUUUUGGUAGAACAAUUUAUUUUUUGGGGGGAUAGUUACCCAGUAGUGGGGUUGCUGGGUUGGUUGGUACUUCGACUCAUAGUUCUUUGAGAAAUAUCCGAACUGCUCUUCGUAAUGGCUGAACAAUUUACAUUCUGACCAACAGUGAAUGAGUGUUCCCUUUUCUCCACAGCCUUGCUGCCAUCUGUUUUUUUUUUUUUAAAUAUAUGAGGAAAGUCUUGCUCUGCCACCCAGGCUGGAGUGGAGUGGCAUGAUCAUGGCUCACUGCAGUCUCAGACUCCUGGGCUCAAGCAAUCCUCCUGCCUCAGCUUCCUUAGUAGCUGUGACUAUAGGCACACACUACACCAACACACACAGAUAAUUUAAAAUUUUUUUUUUUUUGGUAGAGAUGAGGUCUCACUAUGUUGCCCAGGCCGGUCUCCAACUUCUGACCUCAAGGGAUCCUCUAGCCUCUGCCUCCCAAAGUGCUGAGAUUUCAGGCAUGAGCCACUAUACCUGGUCUUUUUUUUUGACUUUUUUUUUUUUUUUUUUUUUUGAGGUGGAGUCGCACUCUGUCGCCCAGGCUGGAGUGCAGUGGGGCCAUCUCAGCUCACUGCAACCUCUGCUUCCCGGGUUCAAGUGAUUCUCCUGACUCAGCCUUCCGGGUAGCCAGGAUUACAGGUGUGUGCCACCAUGCCCGACUAAUUUUUUUGUGUUUUUAGUAGAGACGGGGGCCAGGCUGGUCUCAAACUCCUGACCUCGAGUGAUCUGCCAGCGUCAGCCUCCCAAAGUGCUGGGAUUAUGGGUGUCAGCCACCAUGCCCGACCUUUCUUGACUUUUUAACAAAAGCCCUGAUAAAUGUAGUUAUACCCUGACUUUGCCUCACUAUAGGCCCCUGUGCCCACAAACUUCCUAUGGUCACUUUCCUAAUAUCUAAGUGUAAAAUUGAGAUUAAUAUCCUCACCACCCUGCAGAAUUCCCACACUGACUUCCUAACCUAUAGAAUAAGAAAUGUUAGGAUGAGACCAGUGGAUGGCUCUUGUCAAAAUAGUAAACCAAAAGCAAUUCUGCACUGCUGCAUUUAAUCACAGUGAUUUUUUUUUUUUAAAACAGUGUCUCACUAUGUUGCCCAGGCUGGUCUUGAACUCCUGGGCUCAAGUGAUCCUCCCGUCUCCCAAAGUGUUAGGAUUACAAGUGUGAGCCACUGUGCCCAGCUGAAAGAUUCGUCUUGACAUAACAAAGAAUCGCCCUCCAAAACCUAUUAAUGAUUGGCCGGGUAUGGUGGCUCACACCUGUAAUCCCAGCACUUUUGGAGGCCGAGGUGGGCAGAUCACCAGGUCAGGAGAUCGAGACCAUCCUGGACAACAUGGUGAAACCCCAUCUCUACUAAAAAUACCAAAAUUAGCUGGGUGUGGUGGCAUGUACCUGUAAUCCCAGCUACUUGGGAGGCUGAGGAAGGAGAAUCACUUGAAUCUGGGAGGCAGAGGUUGCAGUGAGGUGAGAUUGUGCCACUGCACUGCAGGCUGGUGACAGAGCGAGACUCCGUUUCAAAAUAAACAAAUAAACAUAUAAAAAAAACCUAUUAAUGACCUUAGCUUUAUAGAUGUACUUAGUGCCAUGGUCUGAAUGUUUGUGGCUCCCCGAAAUCCAUAUAUGUUGCCAUCUUAACCCCCAAGGUGAUGAUAUCAGGAGGUGGGGCCUUUAGGAGGUGUUUUAGUCUGUUCUCACAUUGUUAUAAAGAAAUAACUGACACUUCGGGAGUCCGAGGUGGGUGAAUCACUUGAGGCCAGAAGUUCGAGACCAGCCUGGCAAACAUGGUGAAACCCCUCUCUACUAAAAAAUGCAAAAAUUAGCUGGCAGUGGUGACACACACCUGUAAUCCCAGCUACUCGGGAGGCUGAGGCAGGAGAAUCACUUGAACCCGGGAGGUGGAGGUUGCAGUGAGCCAAGAUCGCACCACUGCACUCCAGCCUGGAUGACAGAGCAAGACUCUGUCUCAAAAAAAAAAAAAAAAAAAAAGAAGGAACUGAGACUGGGUCAUAUAUAUGUUUAAUUGGCUUAGGGUUCUGCAGGCCAUGCAGGAAGCAUGGCUGGGGAGGCCUCAGGGAGCUUUUACUCAUGGCAGAAGGCAAAGCCUGAGCAGGUGUCUUCACACAGCCAGAGCAGGAGGAAGAGAGAGAGUGGGGAGGUGCCACACACUUUUAAACAACCAGAGCUCAUGAAAACUCUACCACAAGAAUAGCACCAAGGGGAUGGUGUUAAACCAUUUAUGAAGGAUUCACCUCCAUGAUCCAAUCACCUCUCACCAGGCCCCACCUCCAGCACUGGGGAUUACAUUUUAACAUGAGAUUUGGGUGGGGACACAGACCCAAACCAUAUCAGGAGGUGAUUAGGCCAUGGUGGUGGAGCCCUCAUGAAUGGGAUUAGUGCCCUUAUGAAAGAGACCCAGAGGCCAGAUAAGGUCAUACCCAUAAUCCCAGCACUUCGGGAGGCUGAGGUAGGUGGAUCACUUGAGGUCAGGAGUUCGAGACCAGCCUGGCCAACAUGGUGAAAUACAUCUCUACUAAAAGUACAAAAACUAGCAGGGCAUGGUGGCACAUGACUGUAGUCCCAGCUACUUGGGAGGCUGAGGCAGGAGAAUCAUUGAUCCUGGGAGGAAGAGGUCGCAGUGAGCCCCAAGCCUGCCUGGGUGACACAGUGAGACUCUGUCUCAGGAAAAAAAAAAAAAAAAAAAAAAAAAGGAGACCUAGAAAGACCCUUGCCCUUCUACCAUGUGAAGACACAGAAAGAAGGAACUGUCUAUAAGCCAGAAAGCAGGAUCUCACUAGACACAAAAUCUGCCUUGAUCUUGGACUUCCCAGCCUCUAGAACUAUGAGAAUAAAUGUCUGUUGUUUAUAAACUACCCAGUUUACAGUAUUUUGUUGCAGCAGCCUGAACAGACUAAGAUACUUUGCUGAUUUUUUUUUUCUUUUUUGUAGCUGUCCUUUAAUAGGUUGAGGAAGUUCCUUCUAUUUACUAGUUUUCGGAGAGCUUUUAUCAGUAAUGGACGUCAGAUUUUGUCAAAUGCUUUUCCUGCAUCUAUGGAAAUGAUCAUGUGGUUUCUCAUCUUUAGACUGUUGACAUAAGAAAUUACAUUGAUUCAUUUUCAAAUGUUUAACCAGCUUUGUAUCCCUGGGAUUAACCCCACUUGGUCAUGAUGCAUUAUUUUUAUGUAUUGCUAUGUUUUAUUUCAUAAUAUUUCCUUGAGGAUUUUUGUGUCUAUAUUCAUUAGGGCUAUCGGUCUAGUUUUCUUGUAAUGUAUUUGUCUUGGUUUGGUAUCAGAAUAAUGCUGGGCUCAUAAACAAAGUUGGGAAGUGUUCCAUUUUCUGAAAGAGUUUGUGUACAGUUGGUAUGAUUUCUUCCUUAAGUGUUUGCUGGAAUUCAAUAGUAAAGCAAUUCAGUCAUAUUAGCAAGCUUAGAUCUUUCUAUAGGAAAGACCGUGGUAUGAUUUUUUUUAUUAUACUUUAAAUUCUAGGAUACAUGUGCACAACAUGAAGGUUUGUUACAUAGGUAUACAUGUGCCAUGCUGGUUUGCUGCACCCAUCAACUCGUCAUUUACAUUAGGUAUUUCUCCUAAUGCCAUCCCUCCCCCAGCCCGCCAGCCCCCAACAAAGUCCAGUGUGCGAUGUUCCUGCCCUGUGACCAAGUGUUCUCAUUGUUCAAUUCCCACCUAUGAGUGGGAACAUGCAGUGUUUGGCUUUCUGUCCUUGCGAUAGUUUGCUAAGAAUGAUGGUUUCCAGCUUCAUCCAUGUCCCUGCAAAGGACAUGAACUCAUCCUUUUUUAUGGCUGCAUAGUAUUCCAUGGUAUAUAUGUGCCACAUUUUCUUGUCUUUUUAUUCAUUUUCUUUUUUUGAGAUGGAGUCUUGCUCUGUCACCCAGGCUAGAGUGCAGUGGUGCAAUCUCGGCUCACUGCCAGCUCUGCCUCCCGGGCUCAUGCCAUUCUCCUGCCUCAGCCUCCUGAGUAGCUGGGACUACAGGCGCCUGCCAUCACGUCUGGCUAAUUUUUUGUAUUUUUAGUAGAGAUGGGGUUUCACCACGUUAGCCAGGAUGUUCUUGAUCUCCUGACCUUGUGAUCCACCCUCUUCAGCUUCCCAAAGUGCUGGGAUGACAGGCGUGAGCCACCACAUACUUUUAAAUAAAACGUACACCUCAAUAAAUUCACUAAGACCAAUCAUGCUAUAGAUAUCUGGGCUUGCAAUUCAAGAAUAAUAUCAUUAAAAUAAAAGUUUUAAGCACACACUUUAAGAUCACCAAUGGUGGAAAACCAGUUUUAACAAUAAUAUAUUUAUUUUUUAUUUUAUUUAUUUAUUUUUUGAGAUAGAGUCUUCCUCCGUUUCCCAGGCUGAAGUGCAAUGGCACAAUCUCAGCUCACUGCAACCUCUGCCUCCUGGGUUCAAGCAAUUCUUCUGCCUCAGCCUCCCAAGUAGCUGGGAUUACAGGUGUGAGCCACUACACCUAGCUAAUUUUUUUUUUGUAUUUUUAGUAGAGACCGCGUUUCGCCAUGUUGGCCAGGCUGGUCUUGAACUCCUGACUUCAAGUGAUCCACUCACCUUGGCCUCCUAAAGUGCUGGGAUUACAGGCAUGAGUCACUGCACCUGGCCUAAAAAUAAUGUAUUUAUUAUUAUUUUAUUUUUUAAAACACAGAGACGGCUGGGUGCAGUGGCUCACUCCUGUAAUCCCAGCACUUUGGGAGGCUGAGGCAGUUGGGUCACCUGAGGUCAGGAGUUCAAGACCAGCCAGGCCAACAUGGUUUAAAAUACAAAAAUUAGCAGGUCGUGGUGGCAUGGGCCUGUAAUCUCAGCUACUCGGGAGGCUGAGGCAGGAGAAUUGAUGGAACCUGGGAAGCGGAGGCUGCAGUGAGCUGAGAUUACACCACUGCACUCCAGCCUGGGCGGCAGAGUGAGACUCCAUCUCAAAAAAAAAAAAAAAUUAAAAAUAAAUAAAUAAAUAAACUGAGAGUAGCAGUUUACGGUCUCCGCUACUCAGCAAAUCCAUCUUUUGGUUUCAUUGUUUUGUCCCAAAGCUUCAAUCAGGCUCUUGGUGACUGUUUACUGUCUGGUGUAAGGAGCAGGCCAGUGGCACCCUUGGUAUUUAUAGGAGGGCGAUAGUUGCCUCCAGAUCCACUGAAUGUGGCAGGCUAGUGUUCACAGAACUUUCAGAUGCACCAGACUCUAGGAAGAAGACAAGAGGAGACAGAAGAAAUUAAAUUAAUCAGAGAAAGGCAAGAUCCCAUUUCCCUGAUUUGAUAUGACUUCGCUGAACCUCCAGAAAAAUCCUCAAGCUGACCUGGGCUUCCGUUUACGCAAUCCUCGGAAAACAAUGACCAUAUGAGAAAUGUUUGCACAAGCUUUGAGUUGUUUUUAAAACCCCAUAAAUCCAUAAAUGUUGACAUUUAUUACUCUUAAUGUGAGCAUUCUUUCUAAGAGGAUAUGUUCCAUAUUUAAAUUUAUGAGGUUAUUUUUCCUCCUUAGAAUCAGAAACGAUAGCAUAUUGCAAACAGAAACUGGCAGGCUCUUGCUCUCUCCCUCUCUUCCUUCUCUUCUCAAGCUUGGGUGUUUGCAUUCAAUCAUAAAGGGUGUGAUGAAUUCUUCAAAACUGCAUUAAAGCAGCGGCCAUAAAUGAAACUGCCAAAAAGAACGUGAAAAAUAGUACUGGCUGCUUUCUGAAAUGUCCCUGUGUGACCUUAGGUUUCUGGAGAUUUUGUGCAAGUGUGAAUUAAGCAUUUGAUUUUAUCUUAGGAAUAAUGAUGCUCGCAUGAAACAGGCAAGGAAGGACAGAAAGAGAAGGAAAGAGAGAAACUGAUUGAAGAAAAAUAAACUUCACAUGGAACAAACUUCACAUGAAAACAUGAGAUUUUUUCUUUUUUUGGGAUGGAGUCUCACUCUGUUGCCCAGGCUGGAGUGCAGUGGCACGAUCUGGGCUCACUGCAGCUUCUGCCUCUAGGGUUCAAGGGAUUAUCCUGCCUUAGCCUACCAAGUAGCUGGGAUUACAGGCGUGCACCCCCCAUACCUGGCUAAUUCUUGUAUUUUUAGUAGAGACGGGGGUUUCGCCAUAUUGACCAGGCUGGUCUUGAACUCCUGACUUCAAGUGAUCCACCCAUCUCGGCCUCCCAAAGUGCUGGAAUUACAGACGUGAGCCACCAUGCUUGGCCGAAAACAGAAGUUUGAAAAAAUUUAUUGAAAAACAUUUUGCCUAUGAUUCCAGUAUCAUAAACAUACUAUAGGACUCCAAAACCCAAUAAAAUUAUACUGUGAUCCUGAAAGUAUCUUAAGAGGCAUUUAAUAUACAAUGUCCAUGAAUAUCAGGUUGAACAGUGUGUUUUUAAAAUAUACAUUUGUAAAUGCUGUUUGUAUAUUACAUAUAUUAACCCUUUGUCUGUCAUUCAGAUUGCAAACAAUUCUGCCACUACUUUGUAUUGUUUUGAUAACUUUCCCCCACAAAAUGUUACUUUUUAAUGUAGUAGGAUAUGUGUAAUUUUAUUUUUACAGCUUUCAGCUUUCUUGUUUUGAUUAAAAUAGUCUCCUCAGCUCCCAAAUUAUACAUAUAGUCUCCUAAAUUUUCCUUUGGAAUUUUUAGGUGGUUUUUAAAUUUUAUUUAUUUUUAUUUUUUGAGACACAGUCUCACUCUGUCGCCCACCUGGGCUGGAGUGCAGUGGCGAGAUCUCUUUGUGUGGCACACAAGGCCCCACCAGGGGUCUGAUCCUGCUUGAUGGGAUCUUGAUUUGCAUAAACCAUACCCCUGCUGGGAUCCCAGCUGUGGUAGAUUGUGUUAUUGUUGAAAAUAUUUGCUUUCUCUCCCUUGGGUAGAUCAUACCUCCCUGUCUCGCUGAUAUCACGCUUGAUGUCUGACUGGCAGUGCCUCUCUCUGAUAGUAUUUUAUAUCCAGGGCGACCUUGUGACUUGCUUUGGCCAAUAAAAUUUGGGUGGAAGGGACGCACAUCGUCUCUGGAAAGAAGCUUCAAGAGCCAGCUGGUGGUUUUGCCAUCUGUCACCCUCUACCACCAUGAGACUGGCAAUGUCCCAGACGGGGGUGGUUUGGCCAGCCCAGGUCCCAGAGUGAACAUGGCAUGGAUGAGAGCACAGACAUUGAAAUGGGCAAGCGGCAUGAGCAAGAAAUACACCUUUGCUGUUGUAAGCCAUAUAGCCUUUAGGACUGUUUGUUACUGCAGCAUAACCUGACACUUUCUGACUGCUACACCAAACUCGCUGGCUUUGAGAGACUUUACCCUUUUUUGCUUU
rnacentral:lncRNA from 1 species